rnacentral:rRNA from 1 species
UGCAGCUCUAAAUGGGAGGUAAAUUUCUUCUAAAGCUAAAUACUGGCCAGAGACCGAUAGCGCACAAGUAGAGUGAUCGAAAGAUGAAAAGCACUUUGGAAAGAGAGUUAAAAAGCACGUGAAAUUGUUGAAAGGGAAGCGCUUGCAGCCAGACUUGCCUGUAGUUGCUCAUCCGGGUUUCUACCCGGUGCACUCUUCUAUAGGCAGGCCAGCAUCAGUUUGGGCGGUUGGAUAAAGGUCUCUGUCAUGUACCUCCUUUCGGGGAGAACUUAUAGGGGAGACGACAUGCAACCAGCCCGGACUGAGGUCCGCGCAUCUGCUAGGAUGCUGGCGUAAUGGCUGUAAGCGGCCCGUCUUGAAACACGGACCAAGGAGUCUAACAUCUAUGCGAGUGUUUGGGUGUCAAGCCCGAGCGCGUAAUGAAAGUGAACGGAGGUGGGAACCUUUCGGGGUGCACCAUCGACCGAUCCUGAUGUCUUCGGAUGGAUUUGAGUAAGAGCAUAGCUGUUGGGACCCGAAAGAUGGUGAACUAUGCUUGAAUAGGGUGAAGCCAGAGGAAACUCUGGUGGAGGCUCGCAGCGGUUCUGACGUGCAAAUCGAUCGUCAAAUUUGGGCAUAGGGGCGAAAGACUAAUCGAACUAUCUAGUAGCUGGUUCCUGCCGAAGUUUCCCUCAGGAUAGCAGUAACGUUUUCAGUUUUAUGAGGUAAAGCGAAUGAUUAGAGGCAUGGGGGUUGAAACAACCUUCACCUAUUCUCAAACUUUAAAUAUGUAAGAAGUCCUUGUUACUUGAUUGAACGUGGACAGUUGAAUGUAUCGUUACUAGUGGGCCAUUUUUGGUAAGCAGAACUGGCGAUGCGGGAUGAACCGAACGCGGGGUUAAGGUGCCAGAAUGCA